UACGUAGGGUGCAAGUGUUGUCCGGAAUUAUUGGGCGUAAAGAGCUCGUAGGCGGUUUGUCGCGUCUGCUGUGAAAACUCAGGGCUUAACCCUGAGCCUGCAGUGGGUACGGGCAGACUAGAGUGUGGUAGGGGAGAUCGGAAUUCCUGGUGUAGCGGUGAAAUGCGCAGAUAUCAGGAGGAACACCGGUGGCGAAGGCGGGUCUCUGGGCCGAUACUGACACUGAGGAGCGAAAGGCGUGGGGAGCGAACAGG
rnacentral:rRNA from 1 species